UACGGGGGGAGCAAGCGUUGUUCGGAUUUACUGGGCGUAAAGGGCGCGUAGGCGGUCAGCACAAGUCAGUUGUGAAAUCUCCGGGCUUAACCCGGAACGGUCAGCCGAUACUGCGGGGCUAGAGUGCAGAAGGGGCAACUGGAAUUCUCGGUGUAGCGGUGAAAUGCGUAGAUAUCGAGAGGAACACCUGCGGCGAAGGCGGGUUGCUGGGCUGACACUGACGCUGAUGCGCGAAAGCUAGGGGAGCGAACGGG
rnacentral:rRNA from 1 species